AUACGUAGGUGGCGAGCGUUGUCCGGAUUUACUGGGCGUAAAGAGUGCGUAGGCGAAUGUUUAAGUGAGAUGUGAAAUACCCGAGCUCAACUUGGGUGCUGCAUUUCAAACUGGGCAUCUAGAGUGCAGGAGAGGAAAGCGGAAUUCCUAGUGUAGCGGUGAAAUGCGUAGAGAUUAGGAAGAACACCAGUGGCGAAGGCGGCUUUCUGAACUGUAACUGACGCUGAGGCACGAAAGCGGGGGGAGCAAACAGGAUUAGAUACCCUGGUAGUCCACGCCGUAAACGAUGGGUACUAGGUGUCGGGGGUCCAACCUCGGUGCCGCAGUAAACACAUUAAGUACCCCGCCUGGGGAGUACGGUCGCAAGAUUAAAACUCAAAUGAAUUGACGGGG
rnacentral:rRNA from 1 species